CUGUGCUGAUGACCUCUUAGGACACCUUUGGAUUAAUCAUGAAAAGAACGACGUGUUUUCUGAGCAGC